rnacentral:RNase_P_RNA from 1 species
GGAGCAAAUCAGGCAAUCGCUUUUGAUUUCAAACUUAAAAGAGGAAAGUCCGAACACCGUAGGGCAGCGAGCCGGAUAACGUCCGGGCAUUUGAAUUUAUAAUUCGGAUGACGAUAAGUGCAACAGAAAAUAGACCAGCCGCAGAAUAAUUUUCGUGGCUUUGCGCCGAAAGGCGUUUAAUGGAAACUCUGCUGGUGAUGGGUGAAAUGGUGCGGCGUUUCGUGAGGUAGUCAAAAGCGAAAUGCUUAAAGUAAGAGCGCACCAGCGCGUUUGGCAACAGGCGCGGCUAGGCAAACUCCUCGCGGUGCAAGACCAAAUAGGGAAACAUUAUUGAGCUGCCCGCUCAGUUGUUCGCUUUCGGGCGGACAAAACGUUUCCGGGUAGGUCGCUCGAACCGUUCGGCAACGCGCGGUCUAGAUGAAUGAUUGCCGCCUUGAAUAAUUUCAGGGAACAAAAUUCGGCUUAUCGAUUGGUUUCUUUU